rnacentral:lncRNA from 1 species
CUUUGGGGCCCUAAAGAGCAAAGAGGUCUGAGAACGGGGAUCCUGUCCGGACCGCUGCCCCGUUUCACCUGGACGACUCGGAUUUCCAGGCCAGUCGGAGGAGGCAGAAAGCGAACAGGCUGCUCAGAGGUAGUGGCCCUUCCUUCCAGACGUCGUGCUGAUCCCCAAGUGCCCGGAGCCCGAGUCCCUGAGCUCCCCAAAGCUGAGGGGUGGAGCAAGAGGGGAAGCGAGCCUCCAUCUCGGGCUGCGCGAGCCUCCAUGGGGCGAAGACUAAGCAGGGCGAAAGUCUACUUUCCAAGUUAUUGGGUGGCACAUUAAAACUUUUAUCCAUUUUGGACAAAUUAAUGAGCAAUUUAAUUAAUAAAAUCAGAGAGUAGUGUAAGUGCUAUGAUAAUGAAGUUAAAUGAGUGCACAGUAAAAUAUUCACUAAUCCAGCGCAUUGCCAAAUACCCCCUUAAUUCUGCUUAACACUAAAAGGGUUUUGAGCACCAUAAUGAGAUUCUUCUGCCUGCUAAUUAAUUGACACGCUCCUGAAUAUUCAUAUGAGCUAGCACCAAUACGUUCCUAAUUGCACCGUGGAAUAGAUCUCAGAGGAAAGUAAAUCGCCAUAGACUUAAUUAAAAUAAUGUAUUCCAGAUCCAGGACGGGAAAGAUGAGACAUUUGCCUUCGAGCGCGCUAAGAAAGUGGCACCUGGUUGGUGGAGGGGAGAGAUAUCAAACGUCGGCGCCCAGCCUGAAAUAAGUGGCGUGGGACGCUCAGGGAGGGCGUUCAACUUCAGAAAGCAGCGGCUACGCUCGGUCCAAACACGGCGGCUCGGGAGGCCAUAGCUCUUAGGUGCGUCCGUGUUCCUGCUACCCUGCGCGAUGUUGUCCUAAUGGAGGAAGUGGCCGAUGGACAGUCUAGGAUCCUGGCCCCUGACCCAGGGCCCUCUCUUUCCUCCCUGCGAUCCUGGUCCCGAUCAUGGUCCCGGGGCUGGUCUGAAGUGAUGUCUACAGAGGCACUGGGGGAAACAUCAUAGGUCCGGAAAUUCCUAGGGAAACUUUUUCGAGGAUUUGUGGACGCCACAGCAGCCCCAACUCUCCCAACCCAGCUUGCGACAUGAGAGAAGUCACUCACACUUCUCUUUGGGGGAGAUCGACAGCUCCGGGGAGGAUGCUUGGAUCCUGAAAAUGACGGGAUCCAGGUCCCACAUCCCUCAGGAAGCGCUGCGGUCCUCAAAACUGCGCAGCUAAAUUCCUGGGCACAUUCUCCCUUCCUUGGCCAGUCCAGUGACCGUGCCAAGGAGCAUUCCAGCCGAGCUUACCUCAGCAGGUAGAAAGCACAGCAGCAAGGCUGCAGACCCUACAUCUGGGCUCCACAUCACGGCCAUUUUUACCAGAUAAUGCAAGAGAAAUAAACUCUCCUCCCUUGGAAACACAAGUCCCCCACCCCCUUCUUUUUGGGGGGAAAAAUCACCACAGGUUAGAAACUGAAAAGAGUUUAUUUGAAGGCAUACAAAUGCAUAUUUAUUAUACACAUGUAGGCAUUAACAAUGUAAAUUACACCGCCAGCAGUUGCUGGUUGUUUAUUCAUUAGAUCUUUAGAAAAUCUACAUUGCCUCCAGACAGUGCGAUGAUAAUGUGAAAUACACAAGCAGUUUACAUAACCAACUUCAACGCAGAGCUUCGCGCUCCGCCACUCGGAGUCAUCAACAGGUCGCAGGGAAGCGGACGCGAAGGAAAACCUAAGUUUCUAACAACUACGGAAAAUCUGGGAAACCUAUGAGGCCCACAGUUCCCUCUGUCCUUUUGGGAAGCUAUAAAAGACCUGGAGAAAAAGAAGCAACUGUCUCACUAUGUUUGGUUCAUAUAUUUUACCCCGUUUGUGUGUAACUUUUUUUUUCUUUGCAAUUAAAAAAAAUCGGUAAAAAGGGAAUGGAUGGGCGGAACGGAAAGAUCAAUGUCCUCCCCAAACUCCUGGUAUUCUGGAGUUUUCCUUAAAGACUGUGAACCCAAACUGCUUUCAGGGGUGAAGUAAGUGACGAGGUUUCCUUUACUGCCUGCGCGGGAAGAAAAGACAGCCAAUCUACCUUGGCUAAGGGAGGCCAUCGGCUCCACCAAUCAAAUCGCUAUGGCUAUAACAAAUGGUUAUCCACUCCAAAGAAAAUCACUUGCUGGAUCAGCCUUCUUGGAAUUAAAUCCUCCGUGGUUCUAGAUUUAUCCAAAAGAUGAUGAGAUGAGGUGACACUUUAAGAGAAAAGUAGCAGUGCAGACUUAAUGGUUAUUUUAAGUACAUAAAUAUUGUAUGUCAAUAUAUUUACAAGAUUCUUUCCCAGUAAAAAUAUUAAGUAAAACUAAAUGAGGAGGCGGGUGCCAACUAGGGUCUCCUGCGUUGGGCCAGUGAACGACGUCAGCCACAACUCUUAAGUGGUAACGUUUUCGAAAAACCGCGCCGAUCCUCUGAAGGUCGGGUUAAUGAUUUACCCCAUUUGCCAACCACCUGGCGUAGCCUACCGCUACGCCGCGGAGGUGUGCCAGUGAUGCGCUGCAGGGGCGAUGCUGGGGCUCUGUUUUCUGCUUCCUUCUUUUCCUCCCUUCUUUACCUCCUUUCUUUUGGUUAGGCCAGCUGAGCACAGAAGAAAAUGCCCUGUCAACCCUGGAAAGCUUGCGCUACUGGGAAUGCCUCGAGUCAGUUUGCAGACCUAAAAUCUGGUGUUCAUACCUGCGCUGGAAUUGGAACUGUAGGCUGAGAAAAAGGGCGGGAGAAGGAGGGUAGAGAGGGAAAGGUUAGCGGCAAUGAGAAGGGGUGGGGAGAGGGAGGGAGAAAGUGGGGGAGAGGGAGGGAAAGGAACGCAGGAAGCAGGGAUCUAUUUUGGGGGCGUCGGUAAGUCCUUGGGGCAACCUGGUUUUCCCCUGCUGACAAGCUGUGUCAGU